UACAGAGGUCUCAAGCGUUGUUCGGAUUCAUUGGGCGUAAAGGGUGCGUAGGCGGCGCGGUAAGUCGGGUGUGAAAUCUCGGAGCUUAACUCCGAAACUGCAUUCGAUACUGCCGUGCUUGAGGACUGGAGAGGAGACUGGAAUUUACGGUGUAGCGGUGAAAUGCGUAGAUAUCGUAAGGAAGACCAGUGGCGAAGGCGGGUCUCUGGACAGUUCCUGACGUGAGGCACGAAGGCCAGGGGAGCAAACGGG
rnacentral:rRNA from 1 species